AUUGAACGCUGGCGGCAGGCCUAACACAUGCAAGUCGAACGAGUGGCGGACGGGUGAGUCAUGUCUGGGAAACUGCCCGAUGGAGGGGGAUAACUACUGGAAACGGUAGCUAAUACAGCAUACCAUCGGAUGUGCCCAGAUGGGCUUAGCUAGUAGGUGGGGUAAAGGCUCACCUAGGCGACGAUCCCUAGCUGGUCUGAGAGGAUGACCAGCCACAAUGGAAUGGAGAGACGGUCAAGACUCCUAAGGGAGGCAGCAGUGGGGAAUAUGGCACAAUGGGCGCAAGCCUGAUGCAGCCAUGCCGCGUGUAUGAAGAAGGCCGUCGGGUUGUAAAGGACUUUCAGCGGGGAGGCGUUACCCGCAGAAGAAGCACCGGCUAACUCCGUGCCAGCAGCCGCGGUAAUUC
rnacentral:rRNA from 1 species